rnacentral:rRNA from 1 species
GACGAACGCUGGCGGCGUGCUUAACACAUGCAAGUCGAACGGAAAGGCCCUGCUUUUGUGGGGUGCUCGAGUGGCGAACGGGUGAGUAACACGUGAGUAACCUGCCCUUGACUUUGGGAUAACUUCAGGAAACUGGGGCUAAUACCGGAUAGGAGCUCCUGCUGCAUGGUGGGGGUUGGAAAGUUUCUGCGGUUGGGGAUGGACUCGCGGCUUAUCAGCUUGUUGGUGGGGUAGUGGCUUACCAAGGCUUUGACGGGUAGCCGGCCUGAGAGGGUGACCGGCCACAUUGGGACUGAGAUACGGCCCAGACUCCUACGGGAGGCAGCAGUGGGGAAUAUUGCAAAAUGGGCGGAAGCCUGAUGCAGCAACGCCGAGUGAGGGAUGACGGCCUUCGGGUUGUAAACCGCUUUCGCCUGUGACGAAGCGUGAGUGACGGUAAUGGGUAAAGAAGCACCGGCUAACUACGUG